rnacentral:rRNA from 1 species
CCCGGGCCUUGUACACACCGCCCGUCACGUCAUGAAAGUCGGCAACACCCGAAGCCGGUGGCCUAACCCUUGUGGAGGAGCCGUCGAAGGUGGGCUGGCGAUUAGGACG